CAAUUGAAGACUGAUAAUGAUGUUGAGCUCUAUGCACUUGGAACGGGUAGAAUUUUCUUUAAUCUUUUAAUUUCUCUUAAUUUACAGACAUAGAUAGAUUCUGAUUAGGUUCAAUAGGAAAUUUAUUUAACUUAUAACAGUGAAGGUGUUCUUGAUUAUGUAGAGUGAGAAGAAGUAGAAAAUUUAGAUUAAAAAAAAUCAAUUUAUAGAUGCAUGAUCUGAGAAGUACACACUUAAUUAAUUUAUAAAAUCAAUUUUGAUUAAGUUCAAUCGAACAUUAACUCUCAAAACUGUAGGUAUUGUGCAUUUUUCAUCUUUUAUGUGAUAUGAGUUUCUUGAAUUUAGAACAAUAAUAUUUCAAUAUGUGAUGUUAGAGAUAGUCACAUUUAUUUUGUUUUUGAAUUAAAUCUCAGCUAUUCCAACUAUAUAAUAAUCAUGUCUGAGAUUUUGAAGCGCAAUGGAUGGGCAAUUCAGAAAAACAUUGAGCAGCAAACCGCCUGGAUCUACAAAUGAUUCGACUCUGCGUUAUGAAAAUACGGCAAAGAAUCAGAGUGCUGGUUCAAGCAGAGAUUUCCCACCAUCUUAACCUCGAGAAUCGUCUAUUAUUGAUGAUAACUUUACUCCCCCUCCACCUUCACUAGAUAAAUUAGAAGUUGAUUUGUGCAUUGUUAGAAAGUCAAUUAUGGCCAUCGAGGAGUCACGUUCGGCUGGAGAGAACUAGUUUUCUUAGGGAGC